GUGUCAUGAUGUAUGUACAACUUCCUAGGUCAAAGGUCAAGGUCAAAAAACUUUGGUUUCAGUUGACAACCCUGUGUCCUGUGGUGAAGAUCGUGUCCGCUCUAUAUCUUGAGAACCGUUAUGAUUAUUUCAAAGUUUAUACUUGACAUGUAUAUGAACCAACACCAGAGGGUGUGUCAUAAUUUAUGAACAACUGCCUAGGGCAAAGUUCAAGGUCAGAAACUUUGGUUUCAGUUGACAACCCAUGUCCUAUGGUAAAGAUUGUGUCCGCUCUAUAUCUUGAGAACC
rnacentral:lncRNA from 1 species